UCGGCUUGUACAAAGUAACUCUGCCUCCAGGCCCCUCUUGUUGUUCGUGUCUAUCUCUUAGAAGCCAACCAUUUCCUCUCUCAUCUCUCCUCACCUGCAAACCAAAAAGGAAGAAACCCAAAGUUUUGAUUCUAAGCAACAUCACCACGAAGAUUGGGAAGAGACACUCUUCAUUCCUCUCUUUAAUUGAACUACUUUUGGUGAGGAAAAGUUAGUUUCCCUUUGUUGAUUUUUGAUCUUUCAUAUCAAUUUCUCUUUCAGCUUGGGGUUUCGUAUGUGGUUUCCGAAUGGGGUUUCGAUUAGAGUUCCAAAAGGUGGAACGAUUCAGAUCAUCGUCGUCGUCCACCUCCAGCAGCUCUCACUACCUCUCCAAGUGCCUCCUCCGAGGUACCGUCGUUCUCCAGGUCCUCUAUGGUCACAUCCACUUCCCCAACUCCAACAACAUCGUUUUCGCUCGUCUCUGACCUGGCAUCGGGACAGCCCACCUCUCCGGCCUCGUCUUCGCCUCCGUUCGCUCCGACUCAGUGAGUGAGCUUCUCAGAGAUCGAUUCAAACUCUCCACUAUCUCUAUAGCUGAAGCC